UGGCCUUUCUCUUGGGUCUGGAUCUAAGCUUCGUCUUGCCUGAACCUUCACAUUCCUCUUUCCCCUUGGUCCCUGGGUAACACAGGAUGGUGGACCCCAGGGAUGUACCUUUAACCCUGCAGAUGGCACCAGCAGAAACUGAGUGCCCCCACCAGCACCAGAGCACCAAGCGGACCAGGAGAGCAAGAGAAGGACUCUGGGGACACAGCCAGCAUUGGAACAAGAGGCCAUAGAGUCAGGCCUGACUGUACAUGUGACAUACAUCCACACACUGGCAUUAGCAGCUGCCUGCUAACGUAGAAGAUUUAAAUAGAACCAGGAGUCUCCAAACAGAAUAACCUAAAUGUCCAGCAUACAUUUGAAAAAGACCGCUUAUCAUUCCAAGAACAUUCACAACGUGAAUGUAAAAAGGCUGCUUACUGAAAUGGAUGCCAAAAUGAGCCAUCUGCCAAGGACUUGUCGACAGCCAUGAAAAUCGCUUUCAGAAGUAAUUACAAGAAGAAGUGAUUACAAACUCGUUUAAAAUUGAAAAAAAAAAAAGAUUAAGUUAGCAACAAAAAAGAAAUUGUAAAGCGCCAAAUGGAAAUUAUAGAAUUUGAGAAAACAACCAGAAUAACACUGUCCAUCAUUAGAAGGACAUAGUGGUAGACUGGAGAUGGAGUGCUAGGACUUGCUUGGAUCUGAAACACAAAGAAAAUAGUACAAAGUGUGAAUCUAAGCCAAGUGUGGUGGUGCGCGCCUGAAAUUGCAGCACUGAGGAGGCUGAUGCAGAAGGAUGGAAGGUUCUGGGCUGCAUGGUAUGAUCCUGUCUCAAAAAAAAAAAAAAUUAAAACUCCCUGAGUCUCAGAGGUCUGUGGGAUAAUUCAUAUUUCAUCAGCAUCCCAGAACAAUAAGAGUUGUGGGGCUAAAACAUUCUAAGAAGUAUUGGCCAAAGAUGCCCCUCAAAUCAAUGAAAGACAUAAAAUAUACAAAUUCAAGAGGCUGAGUAAGCCCUCAUACGAUAAAUCCCCCCAAAAUCC